GUGGGUACGGCCCAGUGGGGGGGAGAGGGACGCGCCCCGGGCGCAGCCGGACUGACGAGCCCCUGUGCCGCCCCCAG
rnacentral:pre_miRNA from 1 species